rnacentral:ncRNA from 2 species
CCGGUAAACGGCGGCCGUAACUAUAACGGUCCUAAGGUAGCGAAAUUCCUUGUCGGGUAAGUUCCGACCUGCACGAAUGGCGUAACGAUGGCCACACUGUCUCCUCCCGAGACUCAGCGAAGUUGAAGUGUUUGUGAUGAUGCAAUCUCCCCGCGGCUAGACGGAAAGACCCCAUGAACCUUUACUGUAGCUUUGCAUUGGACUUUGAACCGAUCUGUGUAGGAUAGGUGGGAGGCUAUGAACCCAGGACGCUAGUUCUGGUGGAGCCGUCCUUGAAAUACCACCCUGGUUUGUUUGAGGUUCUAACCUUGGUCCGUGAUCCGGGUCGGGGACAGUGCAUGGUAGGCAGUUUGACUGGGGCGGUCUCCUCCCAAAGCGUAACGGAGGAGUACGAAGGUACGCUAGGUACGGUCGGAAAUCGUGCUGAUAGUGCAAUGGCAUAAGCGUGCUUAACUGCGAGACCGACAAGUCGAGCAGGUGCGAAAGCAGGUCAUAGUGAUCCGGUGGUUCUAUAUGGAAGGGCCAUCGCUCAACGGAUAAAAGGUACUCUGGGGAUAACAGGCUGAUACCGCCCAAGAGUUCAUAUCGACGGCGGUGUUUGGCACCUCGAUGUCGGCUCAUCUCAUCCUGGGGCUGUAGCCGGUCCCAAGGGUAUGGCUGUUCGCCAUUUAAAGAGGUACGUGAGCUGGGUUUAAAACGUCGUGAGACAGUUUGGUCCCUAUCUGCCGUGGGCGUUGGAUAUUUGAAGGGGGCUGCUCCUAGUACGAGAGGACCGGAGUGGACGAACCUCUGGUGUACCGGUUGUGACGCCAGUCGCAUCGCCGGGUAGCUAUGUUCGGAAAAGAUAACCGCUGAAAGCAUCUAAGCGGGAAACUCGCCUUAAGAUGAGAUAUCCCCGGGGCUUCGAGCCCCUUGAAGGGUCGUUCCAGACCAGGACGUUGAUAGGUCAGGGGUGUAAGUGUAGUAAUGCAUUGAGCUAACUGAUACUAAUUGCCCGUAAGGCUUGAUCCU